rnacentral:lncRNA from 1 species
UGCAGCCAUCUUGGGGCUUGUCUCCAGAGCCUGCCUGUGUGUCGGUAAACCGGUGAGAGAAACGCAAGGCAGUCCAACCCGGCACCUAAACUUAGAAUCGAAGAUAUAGACGGACGUUUGCAAGUGAGUUAUAGGUCACGAGGCUACUGAAGGGACUAUGACAGGAGGAGGAAGGCUUAAAGCGGCGAGAAGUGGAGGAGCUAAGGAAAACACGUGACAAGGGCAGAAUAAUUGCUUCCAAUGGCCCAGUGCUGGCAGGGAUGGAACCCGCUGGACGCGGGUGCACGACUGGACAGUUAUCGAAGCCGGGUCCUCAGGAUGCUGAGAUACAGUAAUUACGGAUUCUACUGUACUUCUGCACCAGUUCGAAAUUUUCCGUAAUAAAAAGUUAAAAACAAAUCACGUGCCAAAA